CUCUGCAUUUAAUGUUUCUCAUUCUGAUAAUUAUAGAGGAUGGAUUACCUUUGUUUGAACAUGGAAGCCAUGCAGCAUAUUUACAUAGGUGGGAUAAAUAAAUGCAGAUUUAUUAAUCUGUGUUUGGGACUUGUGUGAGCAAGCUGCUAUUUUUCCACUUCUUAGCCUGGUUGCAAAGCAUUACCUUACUCACAAACAAGUUAAUAGGCUGUGACAGUGGCACCCAUCCAAUUACAAGCAAAGAAGCUAUAAGCACUUGAUGAUUGAAUAUUCAAAAUGACCUGUGAGAGAUUAGUUAGGAGUGUGGCUUCUAAUCUAACAGCAUCAGUGUUUCCUAAGCAUUUCAGAAAAUGCUUCAUCACCCUGGUUCUGAGAAAGGCACAGAAAUUAGGACCUGUUUCUGCUGCCCUUACAAUGAGCAGAGCUUGCCCAGGAGGAGUCAAUGGGACUGUUUGCUUAGACCUAAUAAAAAAUUGGAAAUUGCUUCACACCUUGAAUCUGGACAAAAUUAAAAAAAU